CAUUGCUGUCCCCCAUGUGUCACCCUCCUUGCCUUCAGGCCCCUCAAAGAGGCCGGGUCUGAUUCAAGUCCAUCUCUUCAUUCCACCUUCCUGUCCUGACAGUGCCUGACUCAUAAGGAGCAACCAAGAAACUCUCUGCUUAGGAAAAAAGAACUGAUCAUUGGCAAAAAGCUGAGGAUGACAACCUUAGGGGAUGAAAGGCUGUCUUUUCGCACCCUUCUGAGCUUUUCUGCCGGCUCCCAGCUGGGAGAAACCAACACGAUGAAAGCAGAUCUUCCCACCAUGUGCCCGCUUUCCAGAUGCUAGAACAUGUCACCGACAAAACAGACAGAAAUUGUUUCUCAUGGAGCUGUGUCCUUGUGGUGGAGGGACACAGGCAACAAAUCAGCAAAUAAGCAAAUGACAGUACGUGGCAAGCUGAUGAAUGCCAAGGAGAGAAAUCAAUGAGGGAAAGGGACAGGGGUGGGGGGAGGAGGUGGGGUUGCAAUUUUCAAAAGAGCAACUAGUGAAGGUCUUGCUGAGAUGGUAACAUUUGAAUAAAGACUUCAAAGCCACAUGAGGCCGAGCAAGGUGGCUCAUGCCUGUAAUCCCAGCACUUUGGGAGGCCAAGGUGGGCGGAACACAAGGUCGAGAGAUCGAGACCAUCCUGGACAACAUGGUGAAACUACAUCUUUACUAAAAAUGCAAAAAUUAGCUGGGCAUGGUGGUACAUGCCUGUGGUCUCAGCUACUCAGGAGGCCGAGGCAGGAGAAUCUCUUGAACCUGGGAAGUAGAGGUUGCAGUGAGCCAAGAUUGCGGCACUGCACUCUAGCCUGGUGACAGAGCAAGACUCUGUCUCAAACUGAAGAAAAAAAAAAAAGCCACGUUGGUGUUGGAGGAAGAGCAUUCCGAGAGAGAAAGCAGCAAAAUGCAAAGGCCUGGAGGCAGCUGUGCUCCUGGGAGCUCAAGGAACAGCAAGGGUGGAAGUGGCUGGAGCUGAGCCAGUAGGGAUGGGAUGGGAAAAGAGGUCAGGCAAAGAAUGGGUCCAGUUGGGAGGAACCUGGCCUUCUCUCUGCCUGGGAUGGGAAAGCUUAAAAGGCUUUGAAUAGAGGAAGGACAUGCUCUGGUUUCCACGUUCCAAGGACUGGAGAGAUUGAGAUGCUUGCCUCACACCCUGCAGCCAGUGAGGGGCAGAAGAGCGAGCAUCUAGCUGUGAAGGGGAGCUUGAUUUACUGCACCACCCCUAUGUCUGCCAGAGUUUGUUUACUGGAGUCCACAUUGCUGCUAAGAGAGCUGACUGCCACAACAGUGUGAAAAAUAAGACAGGGCAUGGGGAAAAGAGGGGUGGCUGUGUGCUAAUUCAGGAAAGGGGACAAAUCCCAAAAGGCCUAUUGGGGAGGCUGAGGCGGGUGGAUUAAGAGGUCAAGGGAUCGAGAUCACCCUGGUCAACAAGGUGAAACCCCGUCUCUACUAAAAAUACAAAAAUUAGCUGGGCAUGGUGGCGCGUGCCUGUACUCCCAGCUACUCGGGAGGCUGAGGCAGGAGAAUUGCUUGAACCCAGGAGGCGGAGGUGGCCGUGAGCCGGGAUCCCGCCAUUGCACUCCAGCCUGGGUAACAACAGCGAAACUCCGUCGCAAAAAAAAAAAAAAAAAAGGCCUAUUGGAAGAGGUGAUAUUUGAGCUGAAACCCAAAUGGUAGAAAUCAGCCAAGGAAAUACACAGAGAGCAGAGUGUUCAGAAAUAGAUGGUGCAGAGGUCCUGAGGCAGGACCCCGCUCAGAGUCCCAGGAGAGCAGAGAGAAGACAAAUGUGGCGGAAUUGCCAUGAGCAGUGGGGAGAUGAGGUCACCGAGGGAGCCAGGAGGCAGAUGCUUCACGGUCUCACAGGCUCCGGUAAGGAAUUUGGAUUUUAUUGUUAAGAAUGAUGAGAAGGCACUCGAAGAUUUUAAGCAGGGAGGGAUUUACAUUUUCUAUUUUAUUUUAUUUUAUUUAUUUUUUUGAGACGGAGUCCCGCACUGUCACCCAGGCUGUAGUGCAGUGGCGCGAUCUUGGCUCACUGCAACCUCCGCCUCCUGGGUUCAAGCAGUUCUCACAGGGUUAAUGUGACCUGUGGGGAUUUUUUGUCAGAGGAUUGUGAUGAGCGCGAACAAAUUUUCUAUGACCUUGUUAGGGGAAAAUAAUAAGCUCCUGCUAAUGUAUCAAAUUACCAUGCUUGGGCUUCCUGUUCAGAAACCUCAGCAUCUCAUCUCCACGUAGGCUGCGGAGAAUUACUUUUUAGAUGCAGUUGCAUUGAGCGAAGGAGGUUCUGUGGCCUCUAACAUCCCCACUGGGGGAAGAGCUCUGCUAUCCUGGUUUUUCUCUGCAGUUCACGGUGGUCUGGCACUUAGCAUAGCAUCUGAAGAAAAAAAAAAAGCUGGAUUUCUAUUUGAAUGAACAAAGGAAAUGGUUAGUGGCCAUAACACAAGGGUUUUCUCUCAUGUCUAUUUUCUAGGGAAAAACAGGAGAAUUUUUAAAAAAUGUGUCUCUCUUUUUGGGCUGGGCACGGUGGCUCAUGCCUGUAAUCCCAGCACUUUGGGAUGCCGAGGUGGGCCGAUCAUGAGGUUGAGAGAUCGAGACCAUCCUGAAACCCCGUCUGUACUAAAAAAACAAAAUACAAAAAUUAGCUGGGCAUGUAGUUCCAGCUACUCAGGAGGCUGAGACUCGGGAGGCAGAGUUUGCAGUGAGCAGAGUUCGCACCAUUGUACUUCAGCCUGGCCACAGAGCAAGAGUCCAUCUGAAAGAAAGAAAAGAAAGACAGAAAGAGAGAGAAAGGAAGGAAGGAAGGAAGAAGGGAAGGAAGGAAGGAGGGAAGGAAGGAAGAAAGGAAGGAAGGGAAGGAAGGAAGGAAGGAGGGAAGGAAGAAAGGGAAGGAAGGAAGAAGGGAAGGAGGGAAGGAAGAAAGGAAGGAAGGAAAGGAAGGAAGGAGGGAGGGAAGGAAGGAAGGAAAGAGAAAGAAAGAAACUUGUCUCCCUUUUCCUUUUGACAGCUGUGAAGAAGGUGCAAGUUUCAAAGGUGUCACUUUGCUGACGAGCCUUAAGUGAUGGGCAGUAGGCAGAGGUUCCCUCAAUACCCGUUUAAAGACAUUAAGGACCCCCCCAGACUCCUCAAAUAAUACCGUAUCCAGAAUGAAUGUGCACAUCCCCUGGCUGGUCACCUGCAACGAGGACCACCCAUAGCCACCUCCACUGAGCACAGACAUCACAGCUCCCACUCUUCCUCUUUCUUUAAGAGGCACUAAUCCCACCAUGGGGACCCCGCCCCAUGAGAAGUUUUGUAACUCACUUUCUCAGUUUCCCUCGAGAUUCAGGACAGGUAGGUGAGUUGAGCCUCACGAAUCAGAUGCACUCACAUAACCUCACCACCCCCAUGGUCUCAUCUAAACGCUAUUGCCUCCCAAAGCCCCAUCUCAAAAUCCCAUUGCAUUAGGGGCUAGGGCUUUAACAUAUACAUUUUUGGGGAGGGGAACACAGUCAUUUAAUCCAGAGCAGAAAUCAUAAGGAGGGAAAAUUUCCAAAUAUAGUCAGACUAUUCCAAAAGCAAGAUAGCCCCAAAGAUAGCCACACCCACUACAGCCUUUCUCUUCUACAUCUGUCUCCCACACAGUGUCUGGCACACAGCAGGGGCUCAGUGAGUGACAGCACCUCCUUUCUCUAGCUGUGCUUCCCUGUUUAGCCUCUGCCCAUCUCUACCUACAGCUCUGUCCCUUGGAUUCCUGUACUUGAAAUUUUUUCCCAUGGACCCUUUCACUACAACCAGCACUUUAAAAGAAAAAACAAUGGAAUACAACAUGCAAAGUUCACCAAAUCCAGCUUUAGCACCAAUUUUAAACAUAGAUGCAUGCAAAUAUAUUUCUAAGAUAUUAGUCUCCAAAACUGUGGGUAUUGACACUCUUAUCAGAACCUAGUGUCCUUCACUCAAGAGAUGUUUAAAGAGCUUAUUUGUAUUUCUUGAUUUCCACUUAAUUAAUGUGUUUAUUUAUGUCUUUUGUUUUGUAAGAAGUACAUUUAAUAAUUUAGAAGCAAUAAGGCAAAAUAUUUUUACAUAAAAAUUUAAAGACAUUUGCAUGACAAAAAGCAUGCAAAUUAAAGUGACAAACACCACACUGGAGAAAUAUUUUUAAUUUAAAUUACAAUAAAACAGUCAUUAUCCCUAACAUAUAAAUCUCUGUAGCAUUUCCUAAAACUGUAGGAGAAAGAAAAGCCCUAGAGAAAAAUAAGCUAAGAAGUAAAUAGACAAUUCACAGAAAAAGAAAAAGCAUCUUAAUUGUAUGAGAAGAUGAUAACCUUCUCACUGAGAAAGGAAAAUCAAAACCAGCUUAAGACUGUCAACAAGCACAGAGUGAUAAGGACCAGAUUUGUCUUCCCACUUGGAAAACAUUUUUAAAUGGACAAAAGGUGCCAAACAAUAGUUUUCAAGAUUUGGAUGUUAGACAACAAAAGCAAGUGACCCCAAAAGGCAGGAGAGAAAUGAGUUGAGCCUAGCGUUGCCCCACUUUCCGCCUUGAGAGACUUUCCAGGCACAGCUGCAGGGACGGGAACCCAGGCAGAGAAUUCCAGGGAGCAGUGAUCAGCGCUCAUAGCAGAAUGGAAAUAGUGCUGUUUCCAGCCAGCCAGACUUGAAGACCUUGUCAGUCAGGGGUCAUUUGGUAGAGGACUCAGAAAGAUCUUGUCUCAGUAGUGGGGAAUCAUUAGUCAUAGACUAAACAUCUUAAAGAAUCAUAAAAGCUAAAUGCAAAAGGAUCAAGGUAUUUCCACCUUCUUAACUGCAUACCAGAACAUAGCCCAGUAAUAGUGACAAGAAUACAAAAAUACUCAGCACCCAAAAGGCCAAAAUGAUUGGCAUUCAAUCAAGGAAUACCAGGCACGUAAAGAAGCAGGAAAUAUGGUGCCAAAUAAAUAAGAAAAUAAAUCAAUUCCACUCAGUCCAGAACUGAUACUAUUGAAAUUUGUUGGUGUCACUAACACAUUUACUAGAGAGAAAUUUCUGGCACUAAAUCCUAUGUUUAGAAAAGAAGUCUCAAGUCUACGACUUCAGAUCCCCCUUCAAGAAAGAAAGGAGAGCACCUUAAACCUAAAAUAAGCCAAAUAAAAGAAAUAAAAACAAGCAGAUAUCAAUGAAAUAUAAAACAGAAAAACAAUAGCAUCAACGAAGCUAGAAGUUGAUUCUUGGAAAAUAUCAGUAAAAUUGAUAAACCUCUAGUCAAACUGAUCUGGAAAUAAAUAGAAAAAAAAAGAAAAAAGAAAAGAAAAGAAGGAAGGAAGGCAGGGAGGGAGGGAGGAAGGACACAGAAUACCAGCGUCAGGAAUGAAGGAAGUGGCAUCACUAUAGAUUCCACAGAAAUUAAAAAAAUAAUUAAAUAUUAUGAACAGCUUUAUGCCAAUAAAUUCAACCUCUUAGAUCAAAUGAACAAACUCCUUGAAGUGCAUACAUUACCAACUGUUAUUCAAGAAGAAACAGAUGUGAUCUACUCAAAAAAUAUAACUUUUAGUUUAAAAUCUUCCAAUAAAGAAAAUGCCAGGCACCAAAGUUCACAGGUGAGUUUGAACAAAUAUUUAAUGAAGAAAUAAUACCAAUUCUUCUCACACUCUUCCAUAAAAGUGAAGUGAGAAUAUACUUUCCAACUCAUUGUAUGAGGCCAGAGAUAGCCUGAUUCCAAAACCAGACAAAGACAUCCCAAGAAGAGAAAACCAAAGAUCAAUGUUCCUCAUGAACUUAGAUGCAAAAGUUCUUAACAAAACUUGAGCAAAUACAAACCCACAAUAGAUUGCAGAAAAGAAUAGUUUAUCAUGGCCAAGUUGAGUCUAUCUCAAGAAGGCAACGUUGAUUUAAUAUUUUUUUCUAAAAUCAAUCAAUGUUAUUUAUUCUAUUGAAUGAUGAAAAAGUAAAAUAUUUGGCCAUCUCAAUGGGGAAAAAGCAUUUUACAAAAUCUAACAUCAAUUUCUGAUUAAAACCAUUGACAGAGUAGGAAUGAAGGGAAACUCUUCCAUAAAUAAAGGUUCUCCAUGAAAAACCCACAGCUAAUAUCACACUAUGCUGAGCAACCAAAUCAGAAACUAGUGGGUUAUAUUCGCUCCCAGCAACUCAUUAAACAUUGUCCUGGAAAUUUUAGCCAGUAAAGUAAGGCAAGAAAAAGAAAUGAAAAGCAUCCAGAUUGGAAAGGAAAAUGUAAAACUGUCUUUAUUCAACAAGACCACGGUUGUCUACAAAGAAAACCUGAUAGAAUCCACAAAAACAGCCACUAAAGCUAAUCGGUGAGCUUAGAAAGCUUGAAGGAUUCAACCAAACCAACAGAGAUCAAUUGGAUCUCUGUACUUUAGCAAUGAAAGACAGAAAUGGGAACUUUAAAGGCAGUAUGAUUAACAAGAGUAUUCCAUUACUUAAUGUUUAUGGAUAAAUCUGACAAAAGUACACUGAAACUAUAAAACAUUGCUGAGAGAAAAUUUUAAACACUUGAAUAAAUGAAGAGCUUUCCUGUAUUUGUGGAUUGGAAGAAACAAUAUUUGUUAAGAUGUGAAUUCUCCCUAAACCGAUCUGUAGAUUGGACACAGUCUCAAUCAAAAACAGCAGGAUAUUUUGGUCAAAAUUGAUGAGCAAUUCUAAAAUUUGCGUGGAAAUGCAAUGGACCUAUAAUAGCCAAAACAAUCUACUUUGCAAAAGAAAAAAAAUUACGUACCUAACACAACCUGAUUUAAGACUUACAAAGCUACAGUAAUCAGGAAAUGGUGCUAUUGGUGUCAAAAUAAACAAAUAGAUCAAUUAAACAGAAAAGGGAUCUAGAAAUACACCCACUCAUAUGUAUAUGGCUGAUUUUCAACCAAGGUGGAAUUCAAUUCAGUGGAAAAAAUAGUCUUUUCAAAAAAUGAUGCCGUAUAAUUGCAUAUGUAAAAGAAAAAAAAGAGAAAUGAACUUCGAUCCAUAGCUCGCACCACAUACUACAAAAAACACUUUAAAAUGUGACCUUGAGUUGAGCAAAUAUUCUUUAGACACCGUGAAAUCCAUAAAAGAAAAAGUUUCCAGAUUGGACUUAAUCAAAAUCAAUACUCUCUGCUUUUCCAAAGAUACUGUUGAAAGAAUGAAAAGAAAAACUGCAGAAGUGGAGAAAAUAUUCCCAAACCAUAUAUUUGACAGACUUUGUAUCUAGAAUAUAUAAUGAACUCUCAAAACUCAAAAAUGAGAAAAUAAACAACCCAAAAGAUCUAACCAGACACUCAACCACAGAAGACAUGUGGUUGGCAGACAAAAACAUGAAAUCCGAAUUAAAACUGCAGUGAGAAAUCACUGCUGGCUAUUAGCAUAAGUACAAUUUGACAGGCUGACCACCUUCAAUGUUUGUGAGAAUGUGGAGGAACCAGAACUCUCUUACAUGGCUAGUGGACUGGAAAACAGUGCAAGCACUGUGGAAAGCUGUUUGACAGAUUCUUAUAAUGUUUAAUAUACGCCGUCAUAUGUUCCAGCCAUUCCACGCAGAUAUAUGUCCAAGAGCAAUGAAAGUUUAUGUUCACACAAAGACAUACACAAAACGUUCACAGCAGCUUUAUUUGUGAUGGCCACAACCUGGACCAUCAACAGGUAAAUGUGUAAACAAUUUGUAAUGGCCACAACCCAGAUUUCCGUCAACAGGUAAAUGUGGAAACAAUAGUACCUCCAUACUGCUCUGUGAUUAAAAUAAUGAACCAUUGAUACAUGCAACACAUGGAUGAAACUCAAAAUAAUUAUGUUCAGUGAAAGAAGUCAGAGUGUGUGCUGUUUGGUUCCAUUUAUGUAAAACGCUUCAAAAUGCAAACUAAUCCACAGUGAUAGAGCAGGUAAGCUGUUGCCUGGGCUUGGGGAAGGGGGUGCCCUAGAGGGAGGAAUUACCAAGGGUCACAAGUAAAUUUUUGUGGAGGAUGGAGAUGUUUGCUGUCUUGAUUGUGGUGACGGUUUCACAGCUGUAUCCAUAUGUCAAAGCACACCAAAGUGUACAUCUUAAACAUGUGCCAUUUAUUAUAUCUUAACGCUACCUCACUACUGUUUUUUAACUGCCUUCAUGUACAACGUCUAACGCGUCAGAUUGCCAGAAUUCUAAAACGUGGACACCAGCUACUGCUGGCAAGCUUGUGGGGAGGCAGAGCUUCUUUUCACAGAAGCCCUUUAGAUUUUAGACUCCCUCCCCUAACCAGGGUCUAAGCGUUGCCCGUCAUUGCACACUCAUCCAUGCUAAUGAAUUUUUAAAGUUUAAUUUUAGCUUUUCCAGCUGCCUCUGACCUUUCAGACAGCAGAGUGUUAGUCCGACUAUAGUGAUAACAUUGCUCUGUAAGAAUGCAGAUUUUGAAGGGAGGAAUCAGGGUGUGCAAAAAAAAGAAGGAAUUUCAUGUAUUCACUCAUUUGCAUUCAUUCCACAACUAUUUAUUGACUGCCUGGUGGGUGCCAGCCUCUGUUCUAGGCACUGAGGACGUAGAUGAAAACAAGCCCAAUGAAGUCCCGGUUCCCAUGGAGCUGACAGCCCAGCGCUGGGCUGCAGACAAUAAAAACUAUCAAAUCAACAGGGAGCGCAUCCAGUGGUGACAAACUGAGGAGGAGGGAAGCUCAGAGGGAGCUGUAAUUUUAAAAAGUGGGGUCAGGCAGGUCUCCGUGAAAGAUGGUGUUUGAGCAGAGACUUGAAGAGCGAGUGCUGGAAAAAGAUGAUUUAGAAGGGCCGAAAACAAGCUUCUCUGAAAGCACGCGGCUUCCUUUCCUUCUGGACACAUUUGGAAUAUGCAGCAAGGACUGCACAUCUUCAUGUCUCAGCCUCUCAACCUUUCCACCAUGGCUUGAAGCGAGGUUUGUGAUGCCUGUGGGUGUGUUUGCCACUGUAGGCUCAGCGUCCCAGGCCUUGCAGUGCCUCUCACCAGCGUGGCGAUUCCAAGCAGGUCAGUUCACAUCUCUGAGCCUUGUUUUCCUUUUCUGUAAAAAUAGAUCAUUAGGAAUUCACUCAAUCAUUUGACCAAUAUGGUUUGAGCAGUUAUGUGGUGGGGCCCAUGCUAGGUACUGGGACAUAGUGGAGAAGAGGACACAGUCUCUGCCCUCACCGAGUUUAUGUCCAGAGCAACAGACUGAAUGUGUGGGCCGCCCUCCCCAAAUUGAAUUUAUAUGUUGAAACUCUAAUUUUAAUGUGAUGGUUGUCAGGAGGUGGCCAUUUUGGUAGGUGGUUAGAUUGUGAGGUUUGGCCCUCAUGAAGGAUGAGUGCCCUUAUAAGAAGCCAGAGAGCCAGUUAGCCCUUCCUGCCAUGUGAAGACAAGAUGAGAAGCCCGGCUGCCUGCAACAUGGAAGAGAGCCCUUCCCAGUACUUGACCAUACCAUCGCCUGAUUACCUGUUUGCAGGCGGGGUGUGAUGACUCACACCUGUAACCCCAGCACUCUGGGAGGCUGAGGUGAGAGGAUCAUUUGAGCCCAGGAGUUUGAGACCAGCCUGGGAAACAUGGUGAAACCCACCUCCAGAAAUAAUGUUUAAGAAAUUACCCAGGCAUAGUGGCUCACGCCUGUGGUCCCAACGACUCAAGAAGCAGAGGCAGGAGGACCACUUGAGGCUGGGAGUUUGAGGCUGCAGUGAGCAGAGAUGGUGCCACCGCACUCCAGCCUGGGCAACAGAGUGAGACCCUAUCUCAAAAGAGGAAUCCUCACUUGCUAAUGCCCACAGCUUUGAUGGGGACCUCCUAAAAAAGCCAAUAGGCCCAACCCUCUGGGACCACCCAUCACUCAGCCUUGUCAUCUGAAGAGGAUGCAGGUUAAUGGAGUAGCCUGUCCAAGUUCUAAGCCUGGUUCUAUAACCUACACACUGGAGAGUCUGUGCCCAGUAUUUGAUGAUCGUGCCUCAGUUUCCCCAUCUAUAAAAUGGGGAUGAUAAUUGUAGCCCCGACCUUGCAGAGCUGUUGUGAGGCAUUCACAGUUAUUACACAUAAAGUGCUACUCACAGUCCCUGCAACAGGGUCAGUUGUCAGGAUUGGCUCCUCCCAGCCAUCCUCAUCACGAGAGCUGUGGCGCCUGCAGCUGCACUUGUGGGAACAACAGCAGCUCUUCCAGGCCCUUCUGUGGCUUUCCAGGGCCCACUGCCAGGUUCAGCAGCAUCAGUAACCAGCAAUUUUCUCUUCCCUGCAACGUAAACAAGUCCUCCCACACUUUUCCCCUCCACCCACCCCGUUAAGUGAAGCGGGCAGAGCAGAAUUCUGUGUUUUCCUGACUUACUAUUAUGCGAACAGAGGCUCUGAGGAUUGGAGUGCUCAGUCCAAGGUAACUCAGCUAUGUUUGGGACAAACUUGCAGAUAAAUGAUCAUUUUUCAGACAUCCACACACUUAACCCAAUCUCUGAAGUCCCAACCAGUACUACUGCCAGAAGGUCUCCUGGUUCCCUGGCCUGGAACAAGAUAUAAUCCUGGUCUAACCAAAGUCUCUCCCACCCUUACCCCCAUCGUACCAUCACCAUCCACCCCAAGCCAGCAGGAGCACUCCAUAACCACACUCUUCCCUUCUGAAUGACAGUGAAGAUCAGGGUUAAAAUCUCAGCCACUAACUUCCAAAAUAAGCUCUUGAAAUCUGUAACAGACACAAUUUUGAAGCCCAAAGCUUUCAAUGUCGAGGCUAGCUUUACAGGGUUCAAAGUGUUUCACACAUCUAGGACUUGGUGGAGGGUUCUUAGUAUACAGAUUAUACCACAAAUAACAAAAUUGGCAAAAAAUGUAUAUAUUACGAAUAACUGACACAAGAACAGAAAACCAAAUACCGCAUGUUCUUGCUCACGAGUGGGUGUUGAACAAU